ensembl:lncRNA
AAAAUGUGUUGCAUCAUUAAUUGCAACUCUGACGGCAGAAGGGUGAAACUCGAGAAACACUUUGAAUUUAUUUAUAUUUAUCACAAUAUUAAAUCUUAUUUAUGUAUGUUUUCGUACAUUGUGAUGGCAAUUUCUAAAAUCCAACUAAUUCUAUGACAAUGGUAGGUAAGACAGGAGAAAUCAAUUGCGCAAUAAACGGUUUUAAUCUUGCUUGCAAGGAGAAAGUAUACAGGUUACAAAGUAACGGUGGAUAGUUUCUAAAUAAAAACAUCAUUUCGACAGUAUUUAUUACAUAGGAAAAAGGGGUGUGGUAAGAUGCUGCCAUCCGUUUCAUGUCAAUCAAACACCUUUCCCUUUGUUCUAUCACACACGUCAAAUGCUAUCUUCCCCCACCUUAUCCUUCCUGCCAUAAUGUUUACUGUAGUGUUUACCCAAAGGGGCCAACUGGCCUUACUGCCCCCUGUUGUAUCUUCUCCUAUCCUGUCCUAAAACCCAUUGAUCUCCAUCUGGACAGACAAUAGAUGCCCCCAAUGCAAAUACCAGGUCCCACACAUUCCUGUACCUAUCUUAACAGUGGGACUCAAUCCUUUACUCAGUGAGAAUACAUUGUAUAUAGAAAUUUCCACAACAACAUUCAGCUGUUGGACAAGUAAAAAAAGUCUGUCUUACUCGCCCAAAGGACAAAAUGUAUGUCCCCAGCUUUAUUAUGUCUCAUAUCGCUGGCUGGAAACCUCAAUCAAAAACCCACUGUCCCCUUUCAUGCAUGAGAAACAGUCAAAGUUUUCAUUUAUCACUUUAGACUUGACCUAUAAUGCAAUUCAUACAUGGGUGGGGUUAAUACUCAGGUUUGUAUACAUAGAAACUUAUAAAAUGGGUGCGGUUUAUACAUGGGGAAUUACAGUAAUAUUUUGCAGUGUGUCAUGUCAAUUCUCUGCAGUCCAGACCAAGCAAAAUCUCAUGGCCCAACCAUGUCUCUAAAAAAACUGUAACAUGCUUUGUUUGCACAUCAGUCCAUAUACCGUAGUGUCUGAUGUAUGACCACAUACCUACAACCACAUCCACAAUAGCACAUCCAAAGGAAAACAUAAAACAGGUAUCAGCAAACACACAAUUUCUGUACGAACAGAAGCAAAACAUAUCUCACGGCUGAACACUUACAACAUCCAGUAUCCUCCCUGAAAUUAUUGACUGAGAAACUACAUUCAGGAGACAUUUUUAAAGACCAUUCUACUCUAAAAUUAGCAUACAAAAAUCAAUAAAUCAAUCACAUUUAUUUAUAAAGCCCUUUUUACAACCGCAGUUGUCACAAAGUGCUUUACAGAGACACCCGGCCUUAAACCACAAGGAGCAAACAAGAGUAGUGUUGAAUUUCAGUGGCUAGGAAAAACUCCCUAAGAAGGUCGAAUUUUAGGAAGAAACCUAGAGAGGACCCAGGCUCAGAGGGGUGACCAGUCCUCUUCUGGCUGUGCCGGGUGAGAUAUUAAGAGUCCAAUUGGAAUAAUAAAUACAUUUCUCUGGGCUAAAUCCAGAGUCUAUUUGAUUUUAGACUAGGUCAGAAGUAUGACCAGCGGACAAGGACAGGUACAGCAACGGGCCCCCCAAACCAGGUAAUCUGCAGGUGUGGAUCAGGACCUCAUCUCCUCCUAAAAUAUAAAACUGGAGAAGACUGAGAAAAGUUAGUAGUGCAUUCCUCAUAUCCCCCAGCACAAUAAUAUAGCAGCGUAACACCUUGGAACUGAGAUGGGGGGGUCCGGUGAUACUGUGGCCCUACCCGGGGGAGGCCCCGGACAGGGCCCAACAGGCAGGAAAUCCAUCCACCCACAUAAAUAAUUCUGAAACCUUGAGGUUAUGCUACAAUCAUGUGAUUUUAUUUCCUAAUCCAGUAAUUAGCCUAAAAAGAUAUUGGCAAACAUGAUUUUAACCUAUUGGAUAAUACAUAUAGUGUUCUCUAAUAUCAACAAUUAUUAAGUGAGGGUUAUUAACUGAUGGUUUGUGUUGCCUUGAAUGUAGCCAACCCAUUCCCCAUUAUCGUUUGCACCUGUGUCUCGUUCAUUCCCUAUAUAAGUGCGCUUGGAUCCAUCCCUCCAUCCCGUAUGCAAUCAUUACAAUUUACUGUCAGGGUUCCCGUGGUGUCUUAAAAAAUCUUAAAACAUCAAAAAUUCUCCAUCCAUCCAUAUUCUUCCGCUUAUCCGGGGCCGGGUCGCGGGGGCAGAAGUCUAAGCAGAGAUGCUCAUACUUCCCUCUCCCUAGACACUUCCUCUUCCGGGGGGACACCGAGGCGUUCCCAGGCCAGCCGGGAGACAUAGUCCCUCCAGCGUGUCCUAGGUCUUCCCCGGGGUCUCACGAGGGACACAGUCGAAUGCCUUCUCCAAAUCCACAAAACACAUGUGGAUUGGUUGGGCAAACUCCCAUGAACCCUCCAGCACCCUGUAGAGGGUAUAGAGCUGGUCCAGUCUUCCACGGCCCGGACGAAAACCAUACUGUUCCUCCUGAAUCCGUGGUUCUACUAUCGGCCGUAUUCUCCUCUCCAGUACCCUGGCAUAGACUUUCCCGGGGAGGCUAAGAAGUGUGAUCCCCCUGUAGUUGUAACACACCCUCCGGUCCCCGUUCUUAAAAAGAGGGACCACCACCCCGGUCUGCCAUCCCAGAGGCACUGUCCCCGACCGCCAUGCGAUGCUGCAGAGGCGUGUCACCCAAGACAGCCCCACAGCAUCCAUAGACUUGAGGUACUCUGGGCGGAAUUCAUCCACCCCCAAUGCCUUGCCACCGAGGAGUUUCUUGACUACCUCAGUGAAUUCAGCCCGGGUGAUGGACGAGUCCACCUCUGAGCCCUCAGCCUCUGCUUCCUCAAUGGAAGACAUGACGGCGGGAUUGAAGUAUUCCUUCCACCGCCCGACAACAUCCCCAGUUGAGGUCAACAGCUGCCCACCUCCACUGUAAACAGCGUUGGUAGGGCACUGUUUCCCUCUCCUGAGGCGCCGGACGGUUUGCCAGAAUCUCUUCGAGGCCAUCCGAUAGUCCUUCUCCAUGGCCUCACCGAACUCCUCCCUGACCCGAACUCCUCAGCGAACUUGCCUCCACAACCACCCGGGCUGCAGUCCGCUUGGCCUGCCGGUACCCGUCAGCUGCCUCAGGAGUCCCACAAGCCAACCAUAGGACUCCUUCUUCAGCUUGACGGCAUCCCUUACUUCCGGUGUCCACCACCGGGUUCGGGGAUUGCCGCCUCAAUAGGCACCGGAGACCUUACAGCCACAGCUCCGAGCGGCCGCUUCGACAAUGGAGGUGUCUCCAGCCUCCAUCGGGAUCCAGUCGAAGCUCUGCCGGAGGUGGGAGUUAAAGAUCUCUCUGACAGGAGACUCGGCCAGACGUUCCCAGCAGACCCUUACAGUACGCUUGGGUCUGCCGAGUCUGUCCAGCUUCCUCCCCCGCCAUUGGAUCCAACUCACCACCAGGUGGUGAUCAGUUGACAGCUCCGCCCCUCUUUUCACCCAAGUGUCCAAGACAUACGGCCGCAGGUCAGAUGAAACGACAACAAAGUUGAUCAUCGACCUACGGCCUCGGGUGUCCUGGUGCCACAUGCACUGAUGGACACCCUUAUGCUUGAACAUGGUGUUCGUUAUGGACAAACUGUGACUAGCACAGAAGUCCAAUAACUGAACACCACUCGGGUUCAGAUCAGGGGGGCCGUUCCUCCCCAUCACGCACCUCCAGGUGUCACUGUCGUUGCCCACGUGGGCGUUGAAGUCCCCCAGUAGAACGAUAGAGAACCCAGUCGGAGCACUUUCCAGCACCCCUCCCAGAGACUCCAAGAAGGUCGGGUAUUGGGCACUGCCGUUCGGCCCGUAGGCACAAAUUACAGUGAGAGACAUAUCCCGACCCGUAGCCGCAGGGAAACGACCCUCUCGUUCUCCGGGGUAAACUCCAACACAUGGUGGCAGGGCUGGGGGGCUAUAAGCAAACCCACACCAGCCCGCCGCCUCUCACCAUGGGCAACUCCAGAGUGGUGAAGAGUCCAUCCUCUCUCAAGGAGUGUGGUUCCAGAGCCCAAGCCGUGCGUAGAGGUGAUCCCGACUAUCUCUAGUCGGAAUCUCUCAACUUUACGCACAAUCUCAGGCUCCUUCCCCGCCAGCGAGGUGACGUUCCACGUCCCUAGAACUAGUUUCCAUGUCCAGGGAUCGGAUUGUCGAGGCCCCCGCCUUCGAGUGCCGCCCGAUCCUCUACGCACCGACCCCUUAUGGUCCCUCCUGCAGGUGGUGAGCCCACGGGAAGGCGGCCCCACGUCGCUCCUUCGGGCUGAGCCCGGCCGGACCCCGUGGCUGCGCCAUACCGGGCGACAUCAUGGUCCUAAAAAUGGUUUCCAUCAUUAAAGGGUUUUUGAACCGCUAUUAGUCUGACCUGUUUGCCCUGGGAGACCCUACCAGGGGCAUAUAGCUCCUAGGGUCACUCGGGUACUCAAACCCCUCCACCACGUUAAGGUGGCAGUUCAUGGAGAGGCGUAAAAAAUUCUGAAAUUUAAAUGUAAGGCCUUAAAAAGUCUUAAAAACGGCCAGAUUUUCAUCUGAGAUCUUAAAUUUAAUUUAGUCAUUUCUACAAAAGUUUUACACUCAUUCAUUUCCAGAAACAGAAAGAAAAAAUAUUGAGUCGUAGCCUACAAAGCGAAGCACAGGCCGUCUAUAUCAGCAGUGAUUGUGAGUGCAUGUUUGGAGAAUAGCGCAGACACACGCUUCACACCGCGAGCGGGCACGCGCGCCACCUGGUGGAAAGGAGAGAAAGAAAAAGGAGACGCUUUCUCAAGUAUCCGUUGUAGUUCUUUCUGGUUGGUACGUACACGGUGAUAAAACUACAAAUCCCGUGAUAAAUGCAAUACUUGCCCAUGAAAUACAUCUGUGUGUCUCCUCAGAGCAGUGUUGCCAACUUAGUGACUUUUCAGACCCCCUUAGCGACUUUUUUUCAAAAAAGUGACUAGCGACAGCGACUUUUUGUGGUGUUAUUGGAGACUUGUUCUUACACUUUUCAACGAGCAGCGGGUGCCGCCGUGGGCCCUUCCCCCAUCUGAAUGCACUCACAGGCGGCCCAGUUCUCGCACAGCAGCUGCAGUCAGAGCAGGAGAUGUUAACUCUUCCGCGUCCAGACUAAAAAUGAAUCGUGCAUUGUGCUCUGCCAGUGUCUCUUUUGGGUAACUUUUGCCGGUCCCAAGCCCCGAUAAAGGAGGAGGGUUGGUAAAAAAAUUAAAAAGAAUCGACAGAAGUUAAUUUAUAGUUCUAAACAUAUUUAGGGUGUUUUUACUAACUUUUUGUCUCUCCUAUGACGUUAUUCCUCUCUUACUGGCAGCGUCCAUCACGUGCAGUUGGUGCAGUUCUCUUAAUCCAUGACGAUAUCUCCCCUUGUGCGUCGCUCUAAAUGUAAAAAAAAAUUCUAGCCUUUUGAUUUGUUCUUUGUUUUUUUGCUCAGGUGAUUAUUUGGAAAUACACAUGUCAGUCUUCUUACCCCAACAAGAGUUUUGUAUGUUAAAAAAGAAAAUCCAUUAAUGAUGCUGAUGGGAAAUUAUGCAAAUUAGGCGAUGAUGACAUUUAGCGACUUUUAGGACAGCCAAUAGCGACUUUCCUUACUGAGGAGUUGGCAACACUGCCUCAGAGUUUGUUAAAGUUCGACUAGGCCUAUGUGUGGAAAACAUGGUGGAAAAUGGGAAAGUGUACUUUUAACGAGGCAUGGCCAGAUCACAGCGAUUUCCGCUGUUGGUUACAAGCGGUACCCAGCUCCAGGUACGAGGCUCGCUGCAAACAUUGUAAAAAGACUAUUCAAUUUGGGACUCUGGGUGUGAAGGCCCUGGAGUCACAGAGCCUAGAAGCACAAGCUAGCCGCAAAAUGCCUUCAGUAGACUUUGCCGAUUAGCCAGUUUAGUGCCUCACCCCUGCCGUCGUCCUCCUCAAUGCCUGGUCCCUCCGGUCUCCAGCAGCGCAAUAUCAUUGCAGCUCUGUCGAAUGACCUUCAGGGUACUUUUGGAUCGACUGACACAUCGAAAUCCGAGGUGCUUUGGAUACUGCACACGGUGGCUAAACAUCACUCAUUUAAUAGCAACGGUGAGAUUAACGAUCUCUUCCAAGUGAUGUUCCCUGAUUCAGUAAUCGCCAAGACGUUCUUUUGCGGGCCCAACAAGAUGGCUUAUGUGGCGAGAUUUGGAUUGGGGGAGUUUAUAAAAAGGGAAUUGAUUCAUACUCUUACCGGGCCAUAUGUUGUAAUGUUCGACAAAAGUCUAAAUCAGACCACCAUGACCAAGCAGCUUGACAUCCACGUUCGUUUCUGGAACAAUGGAAUUGUUAAAAUGAGGUACCUGGGCUCACAGUUCAUGGGACAGCACAGGACCUACUGAAACAUGUCAAAGAGUCUUUGAACCAAUUGUAGCACAGCAGGUUGAUGUCAGUCUCCAUGGAUGGGCCUAAUGUGAACUUCAAGUUUUUAGAGCUCCUCCAGCUUGACCAUGCGGAGAACUAUGGGGGUGCACAGGGCUGGCUUUUCGGUGUGGCAUGUGGACAAGAUAUUAAAGGCAAUGCACACAUUAUUCCACCAUGUUCCAGCAAGGAGGGAUGACUACGUAAGAGUCACCAAAUCCACAGUGUUCCCUCAGCCAUUCUGCGGCCAUCAGUGGCUGGAAAAUCUUCCAGUUGUUGAGAGGGCUCUGGCGGUUUGGCCAUCUCUCAAGCUAUACCUGGAUGCUGUGCACAGAAAAGAGCUGCCAAUCCCCUAGACGGCAUCAUUUGACACCAUUGAAGCAGCCCACAACGAUCCUUUAACAAUAACGAAGAUGCACUUCUUCAUGACAGUGGCCAGGACCUUUGAACCAUUCAUGAAGAAGUACCAAACAGAUGAACCUGUGAUGCCUUUCUUUGGCAAUGACUUGGCUGAGUUGGUUAAGAGUCUACUGAGGCGCUUUGUUAAAAGAGAGGUCCUGCAAGACAUCACUGCCCUUCAGCUUACCACACUGGACCUGUCUGACAAGAACAUGCUCCUCCUCCCACAGAGGGUUGACAUUGGCUUGGGUGCUGAGGCAGCUCUCAAGGGCAUACCAUUGUCAAACAGUUUGAGUCUUUCCUGUCCGUUGAGGCAAGGAACGAAGAACUUCUCACCUUCCAGCCAUUUGAGAACCGACUAGACACCUUCCUGCAUGAGAGGUUAAGCCAUCGCUAUCCUGCUGCUUGGGAUUUUUGCAUGGGCAGGCAUCCGUUGAAAGGGGAUUUUCGGUCAACAAGGAGGUGGAGAUUGAAAAUAUGCAUGAGGAGACCACUGUCUCACCGGUGUGACAAAGGUUCCCUCUUACCAGAGAGCUCCUAACAUGUGUGGGUGCAGCCCAGUCAAGGUACUGCAUCUUUCCUGAUCAGGAGCGUACCAGGAAAGAAUUGGAAAUGCAGAGCCAGAAGAGAAAGUUGGCAGAGGAUGGUUUAGAGCAACUAAAAAGAGGAAGACCAGUUAAAAGAGGUGUCCAACUGUCUUGUUAGGGAGGCAGACAUGCUUGCCGAGGAAGCUGAGGGAAAAGCUGGUUCAAAGAGCUCCUAUCCAAGUCAAAUGCCCUUAGAAGGGCAUACAAAGACAAAAUGGCUGAACUCAAAAACAUUGAGGCUGAGAUUGGUGCUAAAGGGGAGGAAUUUAGGCAUAUGUAAUCUCUCUCACUCACUCACACUCUCUCUCUCUCACACACACACACACACAUCAGAUCAUCCAUGUUAUGCUGCGUUCCAGGCACAGAAAGUUACGACUUACUGUGCCUGAAGCCGUAAGUUACAACUUCAAGUCACGACUUGGUAGCGUUCCAGGCAAAGUGGCUAGCGUUGACGUUAGCUAGCGCUAGCUGAAACUAGCGAUUUCUAGUCGGCGACAUAUUUUGGGCUUCAUUUAAUAAACAUAACCUGUAGUAGUACACAAAUUUAUGUGUAUUAAUUCCAAUGUGUGGAAUUAACUUUACGUUGCCUAUUUAUGUAUAUUUAUUUCUAUUUCUCACGGUGUCUGUACAGCAUCAACAGGGGUCGCCAUUGUUGUUUAUGUGUGUGUGACGUCAAAACUUUAACUGGGAGUACAACGAUCUGGUACGCGUUCACGAGUAGUAAGUUAAGGGUUAUGGUGUUUUUUAAUGUAAAUAAAUAUGAGAGUGCAAGUAAACUCUAUUUGAGUGCAAGUUUGUUUUAGCCCAUUUUCAUUUUGGGCUUGAAGGUUUUGGGUAUUUGGCACGUUGUUGGUUAUGAAAGGUUACUAAUGUGAUUGCUUCUGUAACUUUAAUUAAUGCUUUUUCAAUGAAUUCAUUGAAAUAAAAGGAUUUCUUUAGAAUUUCUUUGAUUUGAAUAUUUGUUUGGUAGGUCUUAAAUUUCAAACUUUAUGAUCUUAAAAUGUCUUAAAAAGGUCUUAAAUUUGACUUACUAAAACCUGCAAUUACCCUGUACUGUGAGUAGCGUAAUGACUUCCCUGAAAAAGAAAUCCAUAAUGCCACAUCCAAUUUAAUGGAACACAUGGAAACGGGGGGAAAACGUCAUUGAACAAUGUGAGCACCACUACCCUACAAUUCAUUGGUUAAAUCACUGUGCAUGUCUGUUAACACUAUAAUAAUAGAAGCUGAACCCAUUUGUUUUGUCGUAAUUAUCAACAAUUGUUAUAUAAAGUUCCAAGAGAAUUACAAUCAACAUAUGCUAAUCUGUUAACAGCAACAAAUACAUCUUACAGAACUAUAUAACAGUAACAGAACUUUAACCUGUUUGUGCACUGUACAGAUACUAGCGCCUGGUGUGUGGUGUUUCUGUAUGACAGUGUCCAUGAUAGCACUUUAGGGUGUGUUGCAUUAUUAUUUAUUUAAAGGAAUUCACAUUCAAUCAUUCAAACACAAGAAAAAGGGGACAUUUCAUUACAGACUGUCCAUUGAACAUUUAACUAAAACAUCCUACUACCCUUCAGUUAUCUGUUCAAUCACCUUGAUUGUCAAGUGCUUCAUAGAAUCAGCUGUUGACAUUAAGCAUGUGAAACUUUUGUAUUUUACAGACCAAGGGAAUACUUUAAUAUUUUUUUUUUUUACACCAUAGUGGCUAAUGUUAAUCUAUUUAAUGAAAAAUAGUUCUAAGCCACAUGAUAAAUGUGUGCUAGAAUGUAAUAAUGCCCCCAUUAUCAUACUAUAUUUCAG